AACACGCUCCUUAGAUCCACCUCUGGAGGGCGCCGUGCUCUGAGCGCGGCCCCUCGGCAGCUUUCUGGCUGUACAGUUGGAGGUGCUUGAGUCAUUGGCGUGUGAGAACAGUCCACCUGUCCCUCAGCCCACCUGCAGCACCGGCAGCCCUGUUUAACAGACGGGGAGACCCCGGUGCUGCGAGCCUGAGGGACGGACACA